rnacentral:sRNA from 1 species
UUGUUGAGGGCAAAUAAAGUGAAUAUGGGCAUCUAUUGCCCCGGCGGUCAGUAUCUGACCUUCCCCGGCGAUAAUUUCAGUGCCUGGACCUAUUAUGAUGGAGACAUCGGGUUGAAUAUCUGGGUUUCCGGCUUUUCCGAUAGAAUGAAUCCUGCCAUUUUUUAAUCCGACAUCCGCUUUAACAAUGCCCCAGUGAUCGAGAAUAAGCGCAUUGGUAAUAACUGUGUCCAUUGACUCGGCAUCACCAACCUGACUUUGCCCCAUACCAUCGCG